rnacentral:lncRNA from 1 species
UGCCCAGCCCGCCCGGGCUCAGGACGCUGUGGCUUUGCACCGCUCUGUGAGCCUCCCGGAGCGCCGGCGGCGCCCCCCAGCCCGACCCGGGGCCCACCGCCUGCCCGGCCCCCUGCCACUGCCAGGAGGAUGGCAUCGUGCUGUCUGCCGACUGCUCUGAGUUCCGGCUGUCCGCGCCGUACCAGGGGACCUGGACCUCCUGACGGCUUACCUAGCAGUGCCCGGGAUGGUGGCUGAGGGUAAAGCUGACAGAACUGGAGGUGGAGGUGGAGGUGAGGGGAGCGUGCCCCAGUGGGGUGGAAAUAAUGUCUGUUCUUCUGCCAUGGCUGCUCAGGACCGAGGCUGAGACAAGCGACCAGGACGGGAUUGUAUGGCUGCAGGAGGCUACACAGCCCCAGAGGCUGCUUCUAAGAGGCCCACGUGGCCUGCAUGGGGACGCGCCUGGCUGUCCAGCAUGUGGUCAUUUGAAUUGUACAUGUUUCACUGGGAUGCCUAUAGAAAAGUAGACAGAAUAUCUGGAAAAAGUUGUUGAAAGGUUGCAAACUUAGCUACUUUUAAAAUAAAAAAAAAGCUUCGUAAUUAUAAAAGCAAUAUAUCCAAGUGUAAAUUUUAAAAUAAUUUGCUGCAUUAUAGUAAGCAUCCUAUGAUCUCUGUGUGCCCUAUAACAUUAUGUUGUAUAGUUUAAAUAUAUACAAUAAAAUCUAUUUUAAAAAAUA